rnacentral:lncRNA from 1 species
AGAUUGUGGGUUGCUGAUCUUCAUAAAUAUCUUGUGUAGGAGAGAGUCUCUUCUAGUUACUUGUAGUCACACGAAGAUGUCCGGCCUCUACAAAACAUCCACACGAAGACUGACACAGAUCAGGCUCCUUGGAAGUGAUAGCUUGCAAAGAUCUUUGAAGGCUGAACUCUUCUUCUUCUUUUGAUAUCUUGAAUGCUCCAAAGGAGAAGAAGACUUAGAAGUGGAAGAUAAGAAGAGAGAGACCUCUAAAGAAAAAUGAAACC